rnacentral:rRNA from 1 species
UACGAAGGGGGCUAGCGUUGUUCGGAAUUACUGGGCGUAAAGAGCGUGUAGGCGGCCAUACAGGUCAGCUGUGAAAACUCGAGGCUCAACCUCGAGACGUCGGUUGAAACCGUAUGGCUAGAGUCCGGAAGAGGAGAGUGGAAUUCCCGGUGUAGCGGUGAAAUGCGCAGAUAUCGGGAAGAACACCUAUGGCGAAGGCAGCUCUCUGGGACGGUACUGACGCUGAGACGCGAAAGCGUGGGGAGCGAACAGG